GACGGUAUAGCUCAGUGGUAGAGUGCAGUGCUUAGCAUGCACAAGGUCCUAGGUUUAAUUCCUGGUACUUUCA
rnacentral:tRNA from 1 species